rnacentral:lncRNA from 7 species
ACAGGUCAACUGCAUUUAAACAACUGCUAGAUAAACCGCCCAUAACUUGAAAUGCUGGAUGAAAAACAUAUGUUGUACUUCCUCUACAAAGUUGUUCUAUAUCAUUUUUAACCAAGUUUUGGAUUGAAGAGGUGAAUUAUUGCACUGCAUACAACUACGGGCCACACACUCAGUGCUGCCACCCAUAAACACCUUACCUCAUAUUGAAGGACUGGUGACACAAGGCUGUACCCAACAUCAUGCAGGGCUGUGUGAUGACUGAUUCCAGUGAAUGAAAGGCAGUUACUCACCUGUUUUCAUCUGGCCUUUCUUCAGCCUUGAGCCUGGAAGGAGCAGGUUCACACAGUGCUCAGAGUAUCAACAAAUGAAGGGGGGACUGCCUGCAGAGAAGUAGUCUGGACAGAAGAGACAGUAGAAAGUACGUCCAUUUCAUCAGACUGGAUGUGUUCAAAGGUGAUAACAGAAGCUGAAUGAACUUGGCUGCCACUGUCCCCGCCUACAGCCAAAGACUGAAUUUGGUGAUGGCCCUCCUUGAGUAGAGCCAAGUGGUGCUCCAUAGCCAAGACUGUCAGCCCAAAAGAGUUGCUGAUCUGCCUGAUCUCAUGUUCCAAGAAUGAAACCCUGGCAUGGAAGUGGCAUAUCUGCCAGUUAAUGUCAACAUUUGAUGUGCAGUCAGAGAGCAAACAAGGUUUCAUAUUGUGGUAAAAAGGGAAAUACUGUUCGCUUUAAUUCUAGUUUCUUUGUGUCAGAUGUAUUAAGAGUCUCAUAAAAUAGUGAAAGAAUUUCAUUCUUACAAUUAUAAGAAGCAUAUAUAUAUAUAUAUAUAUAUAUAUACACACACACACAUAUACAUACACAAUGUACCUACUUCUACAAGUACAAACAAAAUGUAAAAUCUAGCUAGUAAUGAAUAGCUUGAAACAUCCUUUUCAGAAAACAUUAUAAUACAAGACUCCAGUGACUUUAUCUAACGCUCAGUUACUAAGACGGGGAAGAGAACACUUAACUGUGAAUGAGCUUCCCUACAGCAAAAGGAAAGUGCUCCCAGACUGAAAAAUAGGCAGGGACAGACUAAGAUAUCAUGUAGAGUGGGUACAGCUUGCUGUCCAGCUCUCACCAGCCAUGUGU